CAGCCGCCGCGGGAAUACGGAGGAUCCAAGCGUUAUCCGGAAUCAUUGGGUUUAAAGGGUCCGUAGGCGGUCUUGUAAGUCAGUGGUGAAAGCCCAUCGCUCAACGGUGGAACGGCCAUUGAUACUGCAGGACUUGAAUUAUUGGGAAGUAACUAGAAUAUGUAGUGUAGCGGUGAAAUGCUUAGAGAUUACAUGGAAUACCAAUUGCGAAGGCAGGUUACUACCAAUUGAUUGACGCUGAUGGACGAAAGCGUGGGUAGCGAACAGGAUUAGAUACCCGUGUAGUCCCUGUCUCUUAUAC
rnacentral:rRNA from 1 species